rnacentral:lncRNA from 1 species
CAGCUCUCUAGCACUGAGGAUUUAAACCCAGAACCUUACUUAGCACAUGCUACAGAAGAGCUCUACCACUGAGCUACACGAUUAAUUCCAGUAACUUCAUCUAUAAAGAAUGCUGAGAGGAUUGAUGUAUGCUUCGGUAGACUGCCCAUGUUAACAAUGGGUCAUGCCGUCAUCUAUGUUGAGAACAGGCUUCAGAGUCAAGCCUGCUUAGAGAGAACCAAAGCAGGAGGGAGUGGCUUCUGCUUUGAAAAAUCAGAAUCCGGAUGAAGAAAAUAUGGAUGAAUUUAAACAUAAUGAAUUUAAAAAUUUGAAAACACUGAAUAAAACUGUUACAAAUGUUU